UAGGGAAUCUUCGGCAAUGGACGAAAGUCUGACCGAGCAACGCCGCGUGAGUGAAGAAGGUUUUCGGAUCGUAAAACUCUGUUGGUAGAGAAGAACGUUGGUGAGAGUGGAAAGCUCAUCAAGUGACGGUAACUACCCAGAAAGGGACGGCUAACUACGUGCCAGCAGCCGCGGUAAUACGUAGGUCCCGAGCGUUGUCCGGAUUUAUUGGGCGUAAAGCGAGCGCAGGUGGUUUAUUAAGUCUGGUGUAAAAGGCAGUGGCUCAACCAUUGUAUGCAUUGGAAACUGGUAGACUUGAGUGCAGGAGAGGAGAGUGGAAUUCCAUGUGUAGCGGUGAAAUGCGUAGAUAUAUGGAGGAACACCGGUGGCGAAAGCGGCUCUCUGGCCUGUAACUGACACUGAGGCUCGAAAGCGUGGGGAGCAAACGGGAUUAGAUACCCUGGUAGUCCACGCCGUAAACGAUGAGUGCUAGAUGUAGGGAGCUAUAAGUUCUCUGUAUCGCAGCUAACGCAAUAAGCACUCCGCCUGGGGAGUACGACCGCAAGGUUGAAAC
rnacentral:rRNA from 1 species